UACGAAGGGUGCAAACGUUGCUCGGAAUUAUUGGGCGUAAAGCGCACGUAGGCGGCUUUGCAAGUCCCAUGUGAAAGCCCACGGCUUAACCGUGGAAGUGCAUGGGAAACUGCAGAGCUUGAGUACUUAAGAGGAUCGCGGAAUUCCCGGUGUAGAGGUGAAAUUCGUAGAUAUCGGGAGGAACACCUGUGGCGAAAGCGGCUCACUGGACCACAACUGACGCUGAGGCGCGAAAGCUAGGGGAGCAAACAGG
rnacentral:rRNA from 1 species